rnacentral:rRNA from 1 species
GGUAGGUGAACUGCGGAAGGAUCAUUAAUGAAUUAACUUGGGGGUUGAUGCUGGCUUUGAUGCAUGUGCUCGCCCUCAUAAUUCUAUCCCAUACACCUGUGCACAUCUUGAAGGUUCGAGGGGAUGUCUCCUUGACCUUCUUCUUACAAACUCUUUACUAAUAAUCGAAUGUAAUUGUGCCGAAAGGCCGUAAACUUAUACAACUUUUAACAACGGAUCUCUUGGCUCUCGCAUCGAUGAAGAACGCAGCGAAUUGCGAUAAGUAAUGUGAAUUGCAGAAUUCAGUGAAUCAUCGAAUCUUUGAACGCACCUUGCGCUCCCUGGUAUUCCGGGGAGCACGCCUGUUCGAGUGUCGUGAAAUACCUCAAGCCGGAUGCUUUGUUGCUAUCUUGGCUUGGACUUGGACUUUGCCGCGCAUGACUUUAUGGUUGUGGCGGCUGGUCUUAAAUGCAUUAGCUGACCCAUGAUGUAUCUUUGGUUCUACUCGGCGUGAUAAGUUAUGACCGCUGAGGACAUCUGCUUUUGGGCGGAUGGCCAAGAGUGCCUUGGAUCGCUUCCAAUCUGUCUGUCCUUUGCGGCGACAACCUUUCAACAUUGACCUCGAAUCAGGUGGGACUACCCGCUGAACUUAAGCAUAUCAAUAAGCG